GGGAACCCACUGGAACACCUCUGCCACCUCCGAGCCUGCUCAGCCAGCCUCUCUCUGCCCACCGACUCCCUCUGCCCACCGAGCAGCGACUGCCGACCAGCUCCUCAGCUAUGUAAGAGCAAUUUACCAUCUGAGGAGCGAGAAAUAAGGUAAAAUGGCUUUUUGCUUUUGAAAAGAGUAUGUUUUCCUUUUGAAAUGUAAUGAGUGAUAGUCUUCUCUUUACUGAAUAACAAAACUUCCUUCCACAUAGCAGGAAGAUCACGGAGAAAAUUUGGUAAGAAUUAAUCUUACACUGCCUCUUAGGAAAUUUCAAUUUAAUGGUUUUUAAAAUGCUGACUUAACCUCUUUUUCAGUAAACUCCAGUUGCCGGAACUCAGUAGUACUUGCUGAAUACUUGUAAUGCGUUAGGAAAACGAAGAAGCUUCCCGAGUAGGUAAGUAUUGGUAAUGUUCUCAAAACACAAAGGGCAGACAGGAUUUCCAAGAGUACUCCACUUCUAAGACUUUUAGGGAAUCUGAGUUGAAAAUUAACCUGCCGCCAGUAGUUACAUAUAAGUUAAGAGUUAAAAGAGAGAGAGAAAGACCUUCUGCCUGACUCCCUCUCCUCUCCCUCCCCCCACCCCACCCAGUCCUCUAGAGAGUGGAAUUUCUCCACCCCUUUCCCCUAAUUGGGUGGGGCUGCUUUCAGAGCUGCCCCUCCCCUGAAUCCCUCCCACUAGCCUCCAAAUAUCCCUUAUGAAGGGAGAUGGGAUGGGGGCUGGCAUCUGGCCCAGCGCCAUCUCAUGCUGCUCCUCCCCCUUAAUCAACCCCCAGAUUAUUCAUCACACCCUUAUCCUUAUCCCUCCUUUUCCCCUAGUAAUCCAUGCCAAACCUCUUCUUUACACUCCACCUGCUGGUACCCACUGCCCUUGCCCCAAUCCAGAAAGGCCCUUCAGACUCUUAGCUCUGUUGCCGUUUACAAGUUAAAGGCUUUUGGGGAAGCCACUCCCUUCAUCGAGUCUCAGACGUUUCUGCCAUUGUCUCUUACAGAUUUCCGAGCUGCUGGUUGAGACAAAGUCAUUCAUGGUACCUCUCUGGCUUUGUUUCCUUAAGUCAUGUAAUAAAUCUUUCUCAAACUGCCUUAGCCUUUCCACUGGAGACCUGUGACUUCACGUGAAUCCUUUAGGAGAAAUAGCAGCACGCCAUGGUUUGUAGAGAUAAGGUGAUGCAAACCAUCGUGGGCUGUUACAUUUUCCUAAAGGGCAUGUCAAUCAAGCCAGAAGACCAAAGACCCCCACUCAGCUAUUGCUUCGUGGUCAAGCCCACAGCUCUGCAGCUGGGUUGGUGGCUUUUUGAACCUGGCUUCGUACGAGGCUCGAUGCUUUGAGAGGACUCCCAGUUUCAGCUCGGCUGUGCCCUAGCAGCACGUCAAAACUGGAGUUAUCUAGUUAAAUCCUCCAGUAUUGCCUUGCUGCUUGAGUGAGGUAGGAGCCUGGUUCAAUUGCCCCACCCAGAAGACGCCAACCCGGCAACUUCGAGGAAGUCCAAGCAAGCUUGCAAGCUUACAAGCUCAAGACACCUUAGGCUCUUAAGGAGUCCAUACUAGAUUCUGUGAAUAUAUUUGUGUGUUACUCCCCCCAAAAUAAAUGUUCUC